UUUUGCUUCGUCUCUCAUUUUCUCUUGCUGCCGCGAUGUACGAAGUUCCUUUUGCCUGCCGCGAUGAUUUUGAGGCCUCCCCAGCCAUGUGAAACUACAUGGAUUCUCACUAUGACACCCAGGCUGGAGUGCAGUGGCACAAUCAUAGCUGACUACAGCCUCGAAUUUCUGGGCUCAAGCAAGGCUUUCAUCUCAACCUCCCCAGGAGCUGGGAUUACAGAUGGUGUCAGAAGCGGGGUUCAAAGUAGAGCUUUAAUGACCCCCAGAAGUGCUGAGUGAACAAGCAAGGUACCUGCAAGGACCCACUUGUGUCCUUUGAUCUCUCAGAGCAGUGGGCUCAGGAAGCAACAAAGUCUUACGGAAAUGGUGAAGUCUUACCAAAGAUAACUUACAGUGGAACACUCUGAAUGAACAACGAUGUAUUGAAGUGAAUUUAAAAACGAG
rnacentral:lncRNA from 1 species